rnacentral:rRNA from 1 species
AUUGAACGCUGGCGGCAGGCCUAACACAUGCAAGUCGAACGAGUGGCGGACGGGUGAGUAAUGUCUGGGAAACUGCCUGAUGGAGGGGGAUAACUACUGGAAACGGUAGCUAAUACCGCAUACCAUCGGAUGUGCCCAGAUGGGUUUGGCUAGUAGGGGGGGUAAAGGCUCACCUAGGCGACGAUCCCUAGCUGGUCUGAGAGGAUGACCAGCAACACGGGAAUUGAGACACGCUCCAGCCUCCUACGGGAGGCAGCAGUGGGAAUUAUUGCAAAAUGGGCGAAAGCCUGAUGCGGCAAUGCCGCGUGUAGGAAGAAGGCUUUCGGGUUGAAAAGUACUUUCAGCGGGGAGGCGUUACCCGCAGAGAAAGCACCGGCUAACUCCGUGCCAGCCGCCGCGGUAAUUC